GACGAACGCUGGCGGCGUGCUUAACACAUGCAAGUCGAACGAAGUGGCGAACGGGUGAGUAACGCGUAAUCAACCUGCCCUUCAGGGGGGGACAACAGUUGGAAACGACUGCUAAUACCGCAUACUGAAGGAGGGGUAUGCGGCUGAUUAGCUAGGUGGAGGGGUAACGGCCCACCAAGGCGAUGAUCAGUAGCCGGUCUGGGAGGAUGAACGGCCACAUUGGGACUGAGACACGGCCCAGACUCCUACGGGAGGCAGCCGGUGGGAAUCUUCCGCAAUGGACGAAAGUCUGACGGAGCAAAGCCGCGUGAGUGAUGACGGCCUUCGGGUUGUUAAGCUAUGUUAAUCGGGACGCGGUACCGGCAUAGAAAGCAACGGCUAACUACGUGCCAGCAGCCGCGGUAAUAC
rnacentral:rRNA from 1 species